UCUGCCCGCUGGCGGCGUGCCUAAUACAUGCAAGUCGAGCGAACAGAUAAGGAGCUUGCUCCUUUGACGUUAGCGGCGGACGGGUGAGUAACACGUGGGUAACCUACCUAUAAGACUGGGAUAAAUUCGGGAAACCGGAGCUAAUACCGGAUAACAUUUGGAACCGCAUGGUUCUAAAGUGAAAGAUGGUUUUGCUAUCACUUAUAGAUGGACCCGCGCCGUAUUAGCUAGUUGGUAAGGUAACGGCUUACCAAGGCAACGAUACGUAGCCGACCUGAGAGGGUGAUCGGCCACACUGGAACUGAGACACGGUCCAGACUCCUACGGGAGGCAGCAGUAGGGAAUCUUCCGCAAUGGGCGAAAGCCUGACGGAGCAACGCCGCGUGAGUGAUGAAGGGUUUCGGCUCGUAAAACUCUGUUAUUAGGGAAGAACAAAUGUGUAAGUAACUGUGCACGUCUUGACGGUACCUAAUCGGAAAGCCACGGCUAACUACGUG
rnacentral:rRNA from 1 species